ensembl:lncRNA
GCCGCCCGCGUUUCCGAGUCCAGCCGGCCGGCGCACAGUUCCGGAGCCGAGGGAGGAAGUCCAGUCCCUGCCGCCAGGGUCCCGCUCGGCGCCCCGCGGCGCUCCCCGCCCCUCCUCCGCCCCUCCUGGGGGCCGCUCGGACGGCGCAGUCGUCUCCCCGCCCCCCUCCUCCUGAGAGGAGGAGGGGACCGGGAAAGAGGCGUCGCGUUCUCUCUCACAGCUGCGGGUCGCCCCACCUGGGGCACUUGUCUUUGGGGGAUGGAAUGCUCGCUAGAAAACCUAGGGAUCCAACGGAGCUGCUGAAGGGGCAGCGAUGUCGUAGGCCCCUGAGACGAGGAUGAGACCAUCGCAGUCCUGGGCGCCCCUCGUGGGCACAGAUGUCGGUGUUAGGGCCCCCGCGGGUCUCCUCCGCAGGAGUGACCCGUCACGUUUGUUCUGAACGAAUGAAAAGCUGGGAAGUAUGGAGUAGGUCCUAGUAAAGAAAAGCUAUAGGGAAUGUGGAGGUAGGGUUUAGUGAGUAUUUCCUCAAAGCUCUGGUAGAAAUAGACGCCUGGUGGCUGGCCUUGAACAGGCUGGGGGCCUCCAAGGAGCCCUCAGGGAGGCAGUUACAUCCAACACCCUAACAAAGGAGAGGAAAAGAAAAACCCCCUCAAAAUGUCCCUCGGGUUUGACAAAGGGAUCCCGGACAAAAUGUGACUGUUAAUUACGACAGAACUGAAAAGCAGAAGUAAAGUAAAUCCCCCCAGGACGCCUGGGAACUGGGUGAACCCUCUUCCCUGGAAGCCAAGGAACCAACUGUUUGCAGAGGAUCAGAAGGGAUCAGCUCAGAAGCCCGGACCUGGCCUGGCACAUAGAAGCCACCGAAGGGGUCCUGUGCCAAGGACAAACAGGAACGCCCACCCAGUGGGCGGGCCGUCCGUGGUCCAGAACUGGCAGGCCACUGACAAAUAUCCUCUGAGUAAAACUAAGGAAGGACGUCAGCUAUCAUCAGGGGGACUUGUGUGCCCCAGAGCCUACAGGGUGCUCAGGGACUGCAAGAAGAUCUUCCUUCCAGAAACAUUCAGUGGCACCUCCCCUUCUCCGACACUCUGCCGGGCCAUGGAAUUGCAGAGAAGAACGGGAGGGGGCCCUUGCCCUGAAGAACUCACAGAGUGUUCCACGUGGAAAAUGGAGUGAAGCUGCUGUCAACAACCUAGACAGGAGCAGGCCGGUGUCUCAGGAGGCAGAACAAAGGAGAAGGCACAGCUGGACUUAAGACUCCCUGUCCAGUUCAGGCCGGUUGAGACCACCAACCCAUCAAGUGGGCCUGCGCAGGUGUCCAGUAAGUGACCUUUUCAUGUCAAGAAGCUAAAAACUCCAGCCUCAGAUCACAUGCUAAUGCCACCAUUUUCUGAACAUGCCUCCUAUGAAGAGACAUGAAAUCUGACUAGGCUUGCACAAAUCCUCAGUUACCUCACCUCUCCUCACCUCCAAUCAUCUAUCUCCAUACUUCAGACCACCUUGCUCCUCUACCCCAUAAAUAUCCCUGAACCCCCACUUUUGGGGAACUUGAGGCUCAUUCUCUCGCUUCCUCACUUG